rnacentral:misc_RNA from 1 species
CUCAUAAUCAUUUAAAUUCCAUUUUUUUUUUCUUCGAUCUUCAUGUUUAUAAGUCUUUGGAUCAAAUGAACUGGGAAUUCCUUUGAUUUGCAAAUGAAUUUCGGGGCAAGUGUGUUUGGCUCAAGUUUGAUUAAUUCCAUAUAGAAUUCCAAAUGAAAUUUUGUUCAUACCAAAUUUGCACAACUAGUCAGCAAUUUGAUUUACCACCACCUGAAUUGAAAUUUUUGAUAGAGCUAGG